rnacentral:lncRNA from 10 species
ACUGUCUCCUGGGUUCAAGCAAUUCUCCCAUCUCAGCCUCCUGAGUAGCUAAGAUUACAGGCACCCACCAUCAUACCCAGCUAAUUUUUGUAUUUUAGUAGAGAUGGGGUUUCACCAUGUUGGCCACUGGUCUUAAACUCCUGACCUCAGGUGAUCUGCCCACCUCGGCCUCCCAAAGUGCUAGGAUUACAGGCAUGAGCC